CGAACGGGUGAGUAAUGCGCGACCAACCUGCCCCAUGCUCCAGAAUAGCUCUUGGAAACGGGUGGUAAUGCUGGAUGCUCCAACUUGACGCAUGUCUUGUUGGGAAAGUGUUUAGUGGCAUGGGAUGGGGUCGCGUCCUAUCAGCUUGUAGGCGGGGUAAUGGCCCACCUAGGCUUCGACGGGUAGCCGGCCUGAGAGGGCGGACGGCCACAUUGGGACUGAGAUACGGCCCAGACUCCUACGGGAGGCAGCAGAG
rnacentral:rRNA from 1 species